UAUGGCCACAUCACGUUGAAACACCGAUUCCUGUAUGAUCAUCAAAGUUAAGCAACAUUGGGUCUAGUUAGUAGCUAAAUGGGUAACCGCUUGGGAAUAUUACGUGCUGUAAG